AUGAAAUACGAGAUUGGUGGGGAGUGCCCAGUGGAUGAUGUGUUUGCUCAAAGGUUGAUUAUGAGACUGGUGUCUGUGAGCCUCUCCCUCGCUGGAGAUGCCUCCCUAAAUCUCCAGCAAACUACAAGGAGCCAACCCCAUUACCAGAGUCUCUCUGGGCAACCCCAUCAGACACCAGCAUUAUCUGGGAUCCUUAUACCUGAAAAAGCUACAAGCGUCUCAUUGAACGAAAAAAUGUGCGAGGCUACUUGGG
rnacentral:misc_RNA from 1 species